rnacentral:rRNA from 1 species
AGUGAACGCUGGCGGUAGGCCUAACACAUGCAAGUCGAACGGCAGCACAGUAAGAGCUUGCUCUUACGGGUGGCGAGUGGCGGACGGGUGAGGAAUACAUCGGCAUCUACUUUUUCGUGGGGGAUAACGUAGGGAAACUUACGCUUAUACCCCAUUAGACCUAAGGGUGAAAGCAGUGGAUCUUCGGACCUUAACCCUUUGAAUGAGCCGAUGGCGGAUUAGCUAGUUGGCGGGGUUAAGGCCCCCCAAGGCGAGUAUCCGUAACUGGUCUGAGAGGAUGAACAGGCAGACGGGAACUGAGACACGGUCCAGACACCGACGGGAGGCAACAGUGGGGAAUAUUGGAGAAUGGGGGCAAGCGUGAUCCAGCCAAACCGCGUGGAGGAAGAAGGACUACGGGUUGGAAAGCCCUUUAGUUGGGAAAGAAAAGCAGCAGGGUAAUAGCCCGCUGUUAUGACGGUACCCAAAGAAUAAGCACCGGCUAACUUCGUG